UUGGGCGUCGCCACCUCGUUUGUCGGCCGGCGCGGCGGCGAGACACACCGUGUCGGUGCCGAGAUGUCUACUUCCCUGUCGUCGUCUCACAAGCGUGGCCGCGACGUCGACGCUGCGCCGUCGGCACUGUGGGUCCGGAUGGACAAGGAGUUCCUCGCCGCCCAAGGCCUCCUUAAGAGAGCCAGGCUCUUGCCCCGUCUCCGUUCCGCUGGCCCCUCCGCCGCCGACAAGAAGAAAUGCGCGCCAGCGCCAGCGUCACGACGAUCAGGGGCUCCUGAAGUUGUGCCAUCGACAGCACCAAAGCGGACGACGUCGUCGCAACCCAAGGCACUGAAGGCAGCAACGGAGGCUGCGGAUCGGACUCGGAUCGCCGCACCAGCAGCGAAUUCGACGCAGCAGCAGCGCGCAGGCGCAGCCGCCAAGAACCCGAUCCCUCCGGCAGUUCGUCCUAGCAAGAACCUGCCACCUGCCGAGGCACCAGCAGCAGCGAAUUCGAAGCAGCAGCAGCGCGCAGGCGCAGCCGCCAAGAACCCGAUCCAUCCGGCAGUUCGUCCUAGCAAGAACCUGCCACCGGCCGAGGCACCAGCAGCAGCGAAGCAGCAGCAGCACCCGGCGGUCCAGCGUGCAGUUGCUGCCGAGACGGAGAAGUCGGCGCUGCCUGAUGAGAUCGAGAAGUCAAGGAAAGAGUUCCGCCGGAUGCUGGAGGAGAUGGAGAAGUUGGCGCUGCCUGAUCAGACGAUAUACCCAGAGGACCUAGAGGAGCUCGGCCUCACGCCAGUCGAACAUGUCGUGACGAGGACGAGGAAGCAGGCAAGGGGCUAUUUCGCAAAAUCAACAUCUCCUACCUCCAUCUCCUUCCUCACCAACCAUGGCAAGGGGAGUGGGCUGCUCGGCGCGGGGGGCUCGGCCGCGGGCGAGGGCGGGCCAGGGGCACGGGUCGGGGGGGAGCUAGCGCCAACCGAGGCGAGUGGUGGGCGGGGCGCGCGCGGGGGUGCCGGCUUGGCCACGGCCAUCGCAGGAGGGGGCUGCAGGAAGGGGGAAGAGGGGAGGGGGGCUGCGGACAUGAAGAAGAAAACGAAGAAACCUCCAUAA
rnacentral:misc_RNA from 1 species